GGUGAGAAGAUCCCAAGUCAGCGCGUCGGCACCUUGGCUCUAGACUGAUUACUGCUAAGUAGCAUUAAAGAAACAGUAACAGUCUACAGUCAUGGCUACUGAAGCAUGACAGCUACAGCGCCUGCACC
rnacentral:pre_miRNA from 15 species